AUUGAACGCUGGCGGCAGGCCUAACACAUGCAAGUCGAGCGGAUGAAGGGAGCUUGCUCCUGGAUUCAGCGGCGGACGGGUGAGUAAUGCUUAGGAAUCUGCCUGGUAGUGGGGGAUAACGUCCGGAAACGGGCGCUAAUACCGCAUACGUCCUGAGGGAGAAAGUGGGGGAUCUUCGGACCUCACGCUAUCAGAUGAGCCUAGGUCGGAUUAGCUAGUUGGUGGGGUAAAGGCCUACCAAGGCGACGAUCCGUAACUGGUCUGAGAGGAUGAUCAGUCACACUGGAACUGAGACACGGUCCAGACUCCUACGGGAGGCAGCAGUGGGGAAUAUUGGACAAAGGGCGAAAGCCUGAUCCAGCCAUGCCGCGUGUGUGAAGAAGGUCUUCGGAUUGUAAAGCACUUUAAGUUGGGAGGAAGGGCAGUAAGUUAAUACCUUGCUGUUUUGACGUUACCAACAGAAUAAGCACCGGCUAACUUCGUG
rnacentral:rRNA from 1 species